rnacentral:rRNA from 1 species
AUUGAACGCUGGCGGCAUGCUUUACACAUGCAAGUCGAACGGCAGCACGGGGGCAACCCUGGUGGCGAGUGGCGAACGGGUGAGUAACACAUCGGAACGUGCCCAGUUGUGGGGGAUAACCUAUCGAAAGGUAGGCUAAUACCGCAUGAGCUCGGCAAGAGGAAAGCGGGGGACUCAGCGAUGGGCCUCGCGCGACUGGAGCGGCCGAUGUCCGAUUAGCAGUUGGUGGGGUAAAGGCUUACCAAGGCGACGAUCGGUAGCUGGUCUGAGAGGAUGAUCAGCCACACUGGGACUGAGACACGGCCCAGACUCCUACGGGAGGCAGCAGUGGGAAUUUUGGACAAGUGGGGCAACCCUGAUCCAGCCAUGCCGCGUGAGUGAUGAAGGCCCUAGGGUUGUAAAGCUCUUUUGUGCGGGAAGAUAAUGACGGUACCG